rnacentral:rRNA from 1 species
UGGCGGACGGGUGAGUAAUGUCUGGGAAACUGCCUGAUGGAGGGGGAUAACUACUGGAAACGGUAGCUAAUACCGCAUAACGUCGCAAGACCAAAGAGGGGGACCUUAGGGCCUCUUGCCAUCGGAUGAACCCAUAUGGGAUUAGCUUGUAGGUAAGGUAACGGCUUACCUAGGCGACGAUCCCUAGCUGGUCUGAGAGGAUGAUCAGCCACACUGGGACUGAGACACGGCCCAG